rnacentral:RNase_P_RNA from 1 species
CCAGCUGGUCGGAUGGCCGCCGGGGAGGCCUCGCGCCUCUCGGGAGGAAAGUCCGGGCUCCAUGGAAAUACGGUGCCGGGUAACGCCCGGCGGGGGUAACCCCAGGGAUAGUGCCACAGAGAACAGACCGCUUCAGAUCAGUCCGAAGCAAGGGUGAAACGGUGCGGCAAGAGCGCACCGCGCGGCCGGCAACGGGCGCGGCACGGUAAACCCCACCGGGAGCAAGACCGAAUAGGGGCGGCGCGGGCUUCGGCCCAGGGUCGUUUUCAACCUGCCGCCCGGGUUGGUCGCGCGAAGCGCAUGGCGACAUGCGCUCCAGAUGAAUGGUCAUCCAGCGCCCCAAAAAGGCGUGGACAGAACCCGCCUUACAGGCCGGCUGGCAUC